UAUAUAUAUAUAUAUAUAUAUAUUAGAGUCCGGUUGGAAUACUAUCGAUAGCACUAAAAGCUUGGUGCUAUUGACUUUUCCACCGUUAGAUUUAAUCAUUUGAUUAUUUUUACCCGUUAGAUUAUACUAUUCAACCAACCACCCACUCAACCUUAGAAGACCCACAUCAUCCUAACCGUACAUUUAUCAAUCCAAGGGCUAAAAAACUAAUAGCACCAAUAGUUUGGUGCUAUUAAUAGUAUUCCAGCAUAAUUCUAUAUAUAUAUCUAGCAUAAUCGUUGAUAUAUAUGUGAUAAUUUUUUAUUUUCUGAUAUUUUUAAAUAUAAUAAUAAACUAAUUUUAGAUGUUUAAUGUAUCGUUACUUAUUGAAAAAAAAAAACGUCCUUAAUUUUUUUUCCUCUUUUAUUUGUUUCAUCGAAAUUGAAUUUUGGGUUUAAGUAGACUUUGGGUUGAAGUGGACUUUGGUGAGAACUAUUUUGAUAUUUUUAAAUAUAAUAAUAAACUAAUUUUAGAUGUUUAAUGCAUCGUUACUUAUUGAAAAAAAAAACGUCCUUAAUUUUUUUCCUUUUAUAUUUGUUUCAUCGAAAUUGGAUUUUGGGUUUAAGUGGACUUUAGGUUGAAGUGGACUUUGGUAAGAACUAUUUCUUCUUCGCUAUUUGUUUUGUAGUUAUGGAAAUGAAGUUUCAUUAGUUCUGUUGUUUGUUUGGUUAAAAGUGUAUGAUGUAAAAUUAUAAUUUAUAUAUAAAUAAUAAAUAAUUUAAUAAAUAAAAAUAAUAUAAUUAUAUUUUUAUAUAAUUAAAAUUUAAUUUAAAGCAACUAAAUUAUUUUUUAUACAUAAAUUAUAGUAAUACAACAAUAAAAAUAUAAAAUAAAAAAUAUUAAUAUUUAAUUAAUCAAUUUUUAUUAUAUUUUAAUUGUACAAACUAAAUAAAAAAAUAUUAAAACUUAACUAAUCAAUUUUUAUCAUAUUUUAAAUAUGUAAAACGAAUAAAAAAUAAUUAGUAGCAUAAUUAAAAAUAUUUAAAUAUAACUAUUUUUACCCAGUAUAUUAUUUUAUUAUUUUUUCUUCUUUUUCUUCACUGUAAUUGACUUCGGCCCACGAUGGGUCACAAUCAAUUACGCCGUUUUAAGUUAACUAGAGUUUCAACUGUAACUUUUUUACGACGAACCAAAUAAGAGAAGUGGUUAAUUUUCACCGAAAAUUACUUUCCCCUCCCACUUUUAUCCCACUUUCUUGCAAAUAAAUAGGCCUUUAGGCUUCGUUUGGUUUGGGUAUAAGUAAGAACUAGUUAUAUCGGGAAAAGGUACAAGUAUGGAUUUUUGUAAGAACACGUGUAUUUUUUUAUUUUGGAUGAAAAUGUGAGUAUAAACUGGAACUAGAAAAAUUAUGUUUGGAUGAAAAUGUGAGUAUAAGGUGGAAUAGUUGAUAGUUAUAAAUAGAAAAUAAUGAUAUUACCCCUGUAAUUGAAUUUAAAAUUUUAAACUUAUAAUUUUAAAUUAAAAAUUUUAACUUUUAAAUUUUAAAAUUUGAAAUUAAAAUUUAAAAUUUUAAUUUUCAAAAUUUUAAUUUUAAGUAUCAAAUUUUAAAUUUAAGACCAAAUUUAAAUUUUAAAGAUAUAAAAUAUCAAAUUUAAAAUAUAAAAACUAAAAAUAUCAAAUUUAAAAUUUAAAAUAUCAAAUUUAAAAUUUAUAAUUUAAAAUUAUAAAUUAUAAAUUUUAGAAAUUUAAAUUU
rnacentral:lncRNA from 1 species